rnacentral:rRNA from 1 species
AUACAUGAGCAAAAUCUCAACUUUAUUAGAAGAGACGCAUUUAUUAGAUAAAAAGCCAGUUCAUGCUUUUACAGUAUGAAAAUUGGUGAUUUAUAAUAACUUAGCAAAUCGCAAAGUGAAAACAGGCGAUAAAUCAUUCAAGUUUCUGACCUAUCAGCUUUCGACGGUAUGGUAUUGGCUUACCGUGGCAGUGACGGUUAACGGGGGAUUAGGGUUCGAUUCCGGAGAGGGAGCCUGAGAAACGGCUACCACAUCUAAGGAAGGCAGCAGGCGCGCAAAUUACCCAAUUCUAACAGUUUGAGAGAGGUAGUAACAAGAAAUAACAAUACAAGGCAGUUAAAAUGCUUUGUAAUUGGAAUGAUAGAAAUUUAAACCCUUUUUAAAGUAUCAAUUGGAGGGCAAGUCUGGUGCCAGCAGCCGCGGUAAUUCCAGCUCCAAUAGCGUAUAUUAAAAUUGUUGCAGUUAAAAAGCUCGUAGUUGAAGUUCUGCUGAAAGUAACCGGUCUGCUUUUAAUAAAAGUGGUAUCUUGGUAUGUAUUUAGCAAUGAUGUCCUUUGAAGUGUUUUUUACUUUAUUGUAAUAAAGCAUAUUCAGGACUUUUACUUUGAGAAAAUUAGAGUGUUUCUAGCAGGCUGACGCUUUGAAUACUGCAGCAUGGAAUAAUAA